CCUACGGGGGGCAGCAGUAGGGAAUAUUGCUCAAUGGGGGAAACCCUGAAGCAGCAACGCCGCGUGGAGGAUGAAGGUUUUCGGAUUGUAAACUCCUUUUGUUAGAGAAGAUAAUGACGGUAUCUAACGAAUAAGCACCGGCUAACUCCGUGCCAGCAGCCGCGGUAAUACGGAGGGUGCAAGCGUUACUCGGAAUCACUGGGCGUAAAGAGCGCGUAGGCGGGAAAGCAAGUCAGAUGUGAAAUCCUAGGGCUUAACCAUAGAACUGCAUUGGAAACUGUUAUUCUAGAGUAUGGGAGAGGUAGGUGGAAUUCUUGGUGUAGGGGUAAAAUCCGUAGAGAUCAAGAGGAAUACUCAUUGCGAAGGCGACCUGCUAGAACAUAACUGACGCUGAUGCGCGAAAGCGUGGGGAGCAAACAGGAUUAGAUACCCCAGUAGUC
rnacentral:rRNA from 1 species